ensembl:processed_transcript
GCUCAAGGAAGCACAAAGAGACCAGGACAAAAGUCAGAGGAUGUGGAAAACAAACAUUCAUGAUGACAGAAGCGCACCUGUUGAUGGAGACCAGCAGACUGUGGAUUUAGCAGAAAACCUUUAUCGAGUCCCACCUUCGCCCUUGAAGCGGACAUCGAUCGGGCAGCCAGAAGAUUCGUGACCCUGGAGGACGAUCAAUGACCUGCGCUUCACUCGCUCAACAUCAGCUGAGGAUUAAACCAUUUCCCUGCACAACACAAUUAACUCCAAUAAACCUCAAGUCAAUACUGUG